rnacentral:rRNA from 1 species
CACCUCGCUAACUCCGUGCCCAGCAGCCGCGUAAUACGGAGGGUGCUAGCGUUAAUGGGAAUUAAGCUGGGCGUACACGCGCACGCUGGGCCGUCUGUUAAGUUGGAUGUGAAGAUCCCCCGGGCUUACCGGGAUGAGAACUGCAUCCCAAGACUGGCAAGCUAGAGUCUCGUAGGACCAGGGAGGUAGAAUUCCAGGUGUAGCGCCGUGAAAUGCGUAGAGAUCUGGAGGAAUACCAGGUGGCGAAGGCGGCCUCCUGGACGAAGACUGACGCUCAGGUGCGAAAGCGUGGUGAGCAAAACAGGAUUAGAUACCCUGGUAGUCCACGCUGAUAAACGAUGUCGAUUUGGAGGUUGUGCCCUUGAGGCGUGGCUUCCGAAGCUAACGCGUUAAUAUCGACCGCCUGGGGAGUACGGCCGCAAGAUUAAAUACUCAAAUGAAUUGACGGGGGCCCGCACAAGCGGUGGAGCAUGUGGUUUACAUUCGAUGCAACGCGAAGAACCUUACCUACUCUGUGACAUCCAGCGCAAUCCUGUAGAGAUACGGGAGUGCCUAUCGGGAACGCUGAGACUAAGGUGCAUGCAUGGCUGUCUGUCAGCUCGUGUUGUGAAAUGUUCGGGUUAAGUCCCGCAACGAGCGCAACCCUUAUCCUUUGUUGCCAGCGGUUCGUGCCGGGAACUCAAAUUCGGAGACUGCCAGUGAUAAACGUGGAGGAAGGUGGGGAUGACGUCAAGUCAUCAUGGCCCUUACGAGUAGGGCUGACACACGUGCUACAAUGGCGUAUACAAAGAGAAGCGAACUCGCGAGAGCAAGCGGACCUCAUAAAGUACGUCGUAGUCCGGAUUGGAGUCUGCAACUCGACUCCAUGAAGUCGGAAUCGCUAGUAAUGCGUGGAUCAGAAUGCCACGGUGAAUACGUUCCCGGGCCUUGUACACACCGCCCGUCACACCAUGGGAGUGGGUUCAAGCAAAAGAAGUAGGUAGCUUAACCUUCAAGCAGGGCGAGACCUUCACCUACCAUAGUGAUCCAGCGACUCCCAAAAAAAAACAAUGUGCCU